rnacentral:lncRNA from 1 species
ACGGGAAUUCAAAGAAAGUCAACUUAUUAGUAUACGGCCAUAAAGCCUCUACAAGCAAAUCUGUGAGCUUGUGAUAGAUCAUUGCAGAGUAAUAAACAACAUAUGUAAGUUUGAAACAAUAACGAGCACUGGUGAUGCUUCAUCGGCCCACUUCUAGCUCAGCGUGCGGUUCUUGUGGAUGUCCAAAUCCAAGCACUGUCACAACUGUAGUCUAUUACGUACAAUAAAAGAAGCUGCUGAUAUCCUGCUAGAAUUUAGUGAAGGUGAUAUAAUCUCUUUCAACUUCACAAUGACCCUGAAUUCUUUCAUAGAAUUCUUUGCAUGUGACUGAGCUCUGAGCUAAUCACCUCUUCCAAAAAAAAAUGAUAGCAUAAGCCAGGCACGGUGACUGAUACCUGUAACCUCAGUACUCAGGAGGUUCCGACCAACGGUCUGCUGUAAGUUCAAGGGCAGCCUGAGCUAGCUACCCAAGUGGGUCAAUAAGGGCAACAUGACUACUGUUUCAGAAGAAAAACCCAAAGAGAAAAGAAAGAUUAACUAGAGAAAUGCCUACCCCUCCCCAUGCAGGAGAGCCGGAAACAGGACACACAACUCUAUCAGGCACCUGCAUCUCCAGAUGUCACCGGCCAGCCAGAGGCAACAAACACUGACCUGAGGGCAAGAGUAACAGUGGGCCUCCACCUGGGCCCAGUCACAGAGAGGGGGAGGGGAGGGAGAGGCAUGGCCCAGGAAAUGUGGGUUCAUGGACAGCCGGGCUUCUAAUAAGCCAUUCCUCCUUUUUCCUACGUGGUUGAAACAAUCACUGUGGCUGUGGGCAGUUCUAGAAGCCUGCAGAAAGGGGAAGCAGGAUGUUCUCUGGUGUGCAUAUUGAGCCCGAGCUAUUUUGACAGUCAAAACAUGACUGUGUGUCCUGACAGUGUCUGUAUUUUGAAGUUUUGGUAUCCAGUUCAGUGACCUCUCUCUCUCCGUCCUUUGCUUCUUUUGCUGUGAGGCCAGGGUCUCUCUCAAACCUGUGAUUUCACCUGCAAAACAAAACAUGGUCUGUGGAAGUGAGUGUUUUCCCCAAGCAGUAAAUAUUGUUUUAAAUAGCCUUUUUUAAAAACAUCGUUUAACAAUAGUCCAUGUUCCCUAAUGUCUUCUUGGACCUGGUGGUUUUUCUUGGCUCAGUGUGACAAACGGAGGGAAGACGACACUGGCUAAGAGCUUGCAGAAGCACCUUCCCAACUGCAGCGUCAUAUCUCAGGAUGACUUCUUCAAGGUAUCUAUGAAGGUUCUUAGAUAACUUGUUGAACACACACAAACAAAAAGCUUUCACGACAAAGUUAAGUAAAUUAUAGCCAAAAGCUAUUUGGGGAGAAUAUACUGGGUGCCAUAGUGUUACCUGCCCACUAGAGGGCACCAUCUGUCAGUGACCACCUCUGAGCUUGGUCCUCCUAUUCCAAGACAUUUCUUAAAGUCUUAACUUCUUAAUUGUAUAAUUGCACCAUUUCUUCACUCCAUAGUGUCUUGAUGGAUUUUUUUAAAUUUUUUUCCAGCCAGAGUCUGAGAUAGACAUAGAUGAAAAUGGUUUUUUGCAGUAUGAUGGUAAGUACAGCCACAUGUUGAAUAAUAUGAGGUUAUAUUCAUUUUCUUUUUCAAAUCCAAACAACUUCUCUCUCUGUUAACAUAAUGUUAAAUGUUUAAAUAGGGAGGGCAGAAGGCGCCAUGGGUAGAAGCACUUGUCACGCAAGCCUGACAACCUGAGUUUGAUUUCCUAGAACCUUUGGAAAGGUGGAAGGAGACACUGACUCCACAAAGUUACCCCUGGUCUCCAUAAGGAUGCUGUGGCCGUGCACACACACAUAUCCUAACACAUUAUACACGUGCUUUCUUCUGUCCUCUGUGGACACUGCACCCACGUGCACCCACAUACAUGCAGGCAAAACAUCC